GGAUCUAUUUUGAUAUGAAAAUAUUAAAAUUCAGUUGAAAAUGUCAGUUCCUAUGGCUUUAAUGAUGUAUAAAUAUGAAUUUUAAAGCAAAGGUCAAAAUCUAGAACGUCCAAUUAACCUAUGACCUUGACCUCAAUUUCAAGGUCAUAGACUAAACAUCUCAAAUCAAAAAGACACUAGUUCCUUAAUAUGUAUGGUUCAUGAGUAAUAUCACUUUACGCAUAAUUCUAAAUAUAAGAGGGGCGAAAACUCCCAUUUAUUGUCUACGCACCCUUGCAACCAAAAUUUAUAAGUUACGACAUGUCGCAACUAACAAUUUAGUAAAAAUAAUUUGUCGAUAUCUUAUAAGGUUAAUGAAAAUAAGUGAAAAUAAGCCAAAAUCAAAAUUUAGAAUUUGACCUUGACCUUUGACCUUGACCUAAUUUUCAUUUUUUUGGACCAAGGAUCUUAAAUCAAAAGACCCUAGGUCUCUAUCACUUAUGGUUUACCAGUUAGAAAUGCAUAUCACUUAUAUCAUAUAUAAAAGGGGGGAUAACUCUCAUAUGGAGUCUCCGGAUAGCUUCGGUCCAAAUGAAACAGAACAUCCUGAGGAUAUAACGAGCAAUUUGGAAAAAUAAAUUUGUCGGUUUUCUUUUAUACGGUUGCGAAGGAGUAGUGGCCACAAGAAAAACAGUGUUCGGGGAGAUAACUCUUACAAGGUAAAGGUUUUUUGUUACGCGGUGUCAGUUUCAGAAGCGCAUUAACUGUUCGAUAUCAUAUUACCAAAUAUCUAAGCGACAUCUUGUGAAACAAAAAAACAGCGAAGGAAAAAAAAGUUGGCGGAAGAAAAAAAAAAAAAAAAAAAUAAUAAUAAUAAUAAUCAGAACAAUAAAUAGGUCUUUCAAUUGAAGAACAAUUCAAUGGUCUUUCAAAGAAAAGACAAUAAUUAAAAACCAAUUGUUCAAGAACAAUUGAAGGUCUUUCACUAAGGAUCUAUUUAGAUAUGAAAUAUUAAAAAUUCAGUUGAAAAUGUCAGUUCCUAUGGCUUAAUGAUGUAUAAAUAUGAAUUUUAAGCAAAGGUCAAAAUCUAGAACGUCCAAUUAACCUAUGACCUUGACCUCAAUUUCAAGGUCAUAGACUAAACAUCUCAAAUAAAAGACACUAGUUCCUUAAUAUGUAUGGUUCAUGAGUAAAAUCACUUUACGCAUAAUUCUUAAAUAUAAGAGGGGCGAAAACUCCCUUUUAUUGUUUACGCACCCUCGCAACCAAAAUUUAUAAGUUACGACAUGUCGCAACUAACAAUUUAGUAAAAAAAAAUUGUCGAUAUCUUAUAAGGUUAAUGAAAAAAGGUGAAAAAUAAGCCAAAAUCAAAAUUAAGAAUUUGACCUUGACCUUUGACCUUGACCUAAUUUUCAUUUUUUUGGACCAAGGAUCUUAAAUCAAAAGACCCUAGGUCUCUAUCACUUAUAGUUUACCAGUUAGAAAUGCAUAUCACUGAUAUCAUAUAUAAAAGGGGGAUAACUCUCAUAUGGAGUCUCCGGAUAGCUUCGGUUGAAAUGAAACAGAACAUCCUAAGGAUAUAACGAGCAAUUUGGAAAAAUAAAUUUGUCGGUUUCUUAUACGGUUGCGAAGUAGUAGUGGCCACAAGAAAAACAGUGUUUGGGGAGAUAACUCUUACAAGGUAAAGUUUUUGUUACGCGGUUGUCAGUUUCAGAAGCGUAUUAAACUGUUCGAUAUCAUAUACCAAAUAUCUAAGCGACAUCUUGUGAAACAAAAAAACAGCGAAGGAAAAAAAAGUUGGCGGAAGAAAAAAAAAAAAAAAAUAAUAAUAAUAAUAAUAAUAAUAAUAAUAAUCAGAACAAAUAUAGGUCUUUCAACUGAAAGGUUGAAAGACCUAAUUAAAAACCAAUUGUUCAGAGAACAAUUGUAGGUCUUUCCACUAGUAAAGAUCUAUUUUGAUAUUGAAAUAUUAAAAAUCAGUUUAAAAUGUUAGUUCCUAUGGCUUUAUGAUGUAUUUAUAUGAAUUUAAAGCAAAGGUCAAAAUCUAGAACGUCAUAUUAACCUAUGACCUUGACCUCAAUUUCAAGUUCACAAACCAAGGACCUUAAAUCAAAAGACCCAAGGUCUUUAAUAUGUUUGGUUUAUUAGUAAUAUCACUUUACGCGUAAUUCUAAAUGUAAGAUGGGCAAAAACUCCCAUUUAUUGUCUGCGCACCCUUUCAAUCAAAAUAUACAAGUAAGGACAUGUCGCAACUAACAAUUUAUGAAAAAAUUAUUUGUCGAUAUGUCAUAAGGUAUUUGAAAAUAAAUGAAAAUAAGCCAAAAUCAAAAUUUAGAAUAUGACCUUGACCUUUGACCUUGACCUCAUUUUUAUUAUUUUCGACCAAGGACCCCAAAUCUAAAGACCCUAUGUCUUUAUCACUUAUGGUUUACCAUUUAGAAAUGCAUAUCACUUAAUUAAAUGGAAAAGGGGGAAUAACUCUCAUAUGGAGUCUCCGUAAAGCUUCGGUCCAAAUGAAUAUCCUAAUCCUGAAGAUGUAACGAGCAAUUUGGUAAAAUAAAUUUGUCGUAAUCUUUAACGGUUGCGAAGGAGUAGUGGCCACAAGAAAAACAGUGUUUGGGGAGAUAACUCUUACAACGUAAAGUAUUUUGUUACGCAGUUGUAAAUUUUUAAAGCGUAUAAACUAUACGAUACCAUAUUCCAAAUAUCUAAGCGACAUCUUUUGAAACAUCAAAAAUACGCAAGAAAAAAAAUUAGGCGGAAGAAAAAAAAAAAAAAUAAUAAUAAUAAUAAUCAGAACAAAUUCAAUAGGUCUUUCCACGGAAAGGUGGAAAGACCUAAUUAAAAACCAAUUGUUCAGAGAACAAUUGAAGGUCUUUCAACCAAUAAGGAUCUAUUUUGAUAUGAAAAUAUUAAAAUUCAGUUGAAAAUGUCAGUUCCUAUGGCUUUAUGAUGUAUAAAUAUAUGAAUUUUAAGCAAAGGUCAAAAUCUAGAACGUCCAAUUAAACCUAUGACCUUGACCUCAAUUUCAAGGUCAUAGACUAAACAUCUCAAAUAAAAAAGACACUAGUUCCUUAAUAUGUAUGGUUCAUGAGUAAAAUCACUUUACGCAUAAUUCUUAAUAUAAGAGGGGCGAAAACUCCCUUUUAUUGUUUACGCACCCUUUGCAACCAAAAAUUUAUAAGUUACGACAUGUCGCAACUAACAAUUUAGUAAAAAAAAUUUGUCGAUAUCUUAUAAGGUUAAUGAAAAAAGGUGAAAAUAAGCCAAAAUCAAAAUUUAGAAUUUGACCUUGACCUUUGACCUUGACCUAAUUUUCAUUUUUUUGGACCAAGGAUCUUAAAUCAAAAGACCCUAGGUCUCUCUAUCACUUAUAGGUUUACCAGUUAGAAAUGCAUAUCACUGAUAUCAUAUAUAAAAGGGGGGAUAACUCUCAUAUGGAGUCUCCGGAUAGCUUCGGUUGAAAUGAAACAGAACAUCCUAAGGAUAUAACGAGCAAUUUGGAAAAAUAAAUUUGUCGUAAUCUUUAUUACGGUUGCGAAGGAGUAGUGGCCACAAGAAAAACAGUGUUUGGGGAGAUAACUCUUACAGCGUAAAGUUUUUUUUGUUACGCGGUGUCAGUUUUCAGAAGCGUAUUAACUGUUCGAUAUCAUUUACCAAUAUCUAAGCGACAUCUUGUGAAACAAAAAAACAGCAAAGGAAAAAAAAAGUUGGCGGAAGAAAAAAAAAAAAAAAAAUAAAAAUAAUAAACAAAUAAUAAAGGUUGAAAGACCUAAUAAUCAGAACAAAUACAUAGGUCUUUCAACAGAAAGGUUGAAAGACAAUUGGUCUUUCAAAAGGUUGAAAGACUAAUUCCAAUUGUUCAAAGAACAAUUGAAGGUCUUUCAACCAAUAAGGAUCUAUUUAGAUAUGAAAAUAUUAAAAUUCAGUUGAAAAUGUCAGUUCCUAUGGCUUAAUGAUGUAUAAAUAUGAAUUUUAAGCAAAGGUCAAAAUCUAGAACGUCCAAUUAACCUAUGACCUUGACCUCAAUUUCAAGGUCAUAGACUAAACAUCUCAAAUAAAAAGACACCUAGUUCCUUAAUAUGUAUGGUUCAUGAGUAAAAUCACUUUACGCAUAAUUCUUAAAUAUAAGAGGGGCGAAAAACUCCCUUUUAUUGUUUACGCACCCUUCCAACCAAAAUUUAUAAGUUACGACAUGUCGCAACUAACAAUUUAGUAAAAAAAAAUUUGUCGAUAUCUUAUAAGGUUAAUGAAAAUAAGGUGAAAAUAAAGCCAAAAUCAAAAUUUAGAAUUUGACCUUGACCUUUGACCUUGACCUAAUUUUCAUUUUUUUGGACCAAGGAUCUUAAAUCAAAAGACCCUAGGUCUCUAUCACUUAUGGUUUACCAGUUAGAAAUGCAUAUCACUUAUAUCAUAUAUAAAAGGGGGGAAUAACUCUCAUAUGGAGUCUCCGGAUAGCUUCGGUCCAAAUGAAAACAGAACAUCCUGAAGGAUAUACGGAGCAAUUUGGAAAAAUAAAUUUGUGAGUUUCUUAUACGGUUGCGAAGGAGUUAGUGGCCACAAGAAAAACAGUGUUUGGGGAGAUAACUCUUACAAGGUAAAGUUUUUGUUACGCGGUGUCAGUUUUCAGAAGCGUAUUAACUGUUCGAUAUCAUAUACCAAAUAUCUAAGCGACAUCUUGUGAAACAAAAAAACAGCGAAGGAAAAAAAAGUUGGCGGAAGAAAAAAAAAAAAAAAAAAAAAUAAUAAUAAUUAAAAAAACCAAUUGUUCAAAGAACAAUUGAAGGUCUUUCAACCAAUAAGGAUCUAUUUUGAUAUGAAAAUAUUAAAAUUCAGUUGAAAAUGUCAGUUCCUAUGGCUUAAUGAUGUAUAAAUAUGAAUUUUAAGCAAAGGUCAAAAUCUAGAACGUCCAAUUAACCUAUGACCUUGACCUCAAUUUCAAGGUCAUAGAACCAAACAUCUCAAAUAAAAAAGACCCUAGUUCCUUAAUAUGUAUGGUUCAUGAGUAAUAUCACUUUACGCAUAAUUCUUAAAUAUAAGAGGGGCGAAAACUCCCUUUUAUUGUUUACGCACCCUUGCAACCAAAAUUUAUAAGUUACGACAUGUCGCAACUAACAAUUUAGUAAAAAAAAAUUGUCGAUAUCUUAUAAGGUUAAUUGAAAAAAGUGAAAAUAGGCCAAAACAAAAAUUAAGAAUUUGACCUUGACCUUUGACCUUGACCUAACCUAAUUUUCAUUUUUUUGGACCAAGGAUCUUAAAUCAAAAGACCCUAGGUCUCUAUCACUUAUAGUUUUACCAGUUAGAAAUGCAUAUCACUGAUAUCAUAUAUAAAAGGGGGGAUAACUCUCAUAUGGAGUCUCCGGAUAGCUUCGGUUGAAAUGAAACAGAACAUCCUAAGGAUAUAACGAGCAAUUUGGAAAAAUAAAUUUGUCGGUUUCUUAUACGGUUGCGAAGGAGUAGUGGCCACAAGAAAAACAGUGUUUGGGGAGAUAACUCUUACAAGGUAAAGUUUUUUGUUACGCGGUGUCAGUUUCAGAAGCGUAUUAACUGUUCGAUAUCAUAUUCCAUAUAUCUAAGCGACAUCUUGUUGAAACAAAAAAAACAGCGAAGGAAAAAAAAGUUGGCGGAAGAAAAAAAAAAAAAUAAUAAUAAUAA
rnacentral:lncRNA from 1 species